rnacentral:rRNA from 1 species
AGCGAACGCUAGCGGCAGGCUUAACACAUGCAAGUCGAGCGCCAGGUUUCGGCCUGGAGCGGCGAACGGGUGAGUAACACGUAGGUCACGUACCCUAUGGUGGGGAAUACCCCGGGGAAACUCGGAUCAAUGCCCCAUAUGUCCGAAAGGAUGAAAGCGCUUCGGCGCGCCAGAGGAUCGGCCUGCUGCCCAUUAUUUAAUCCUAGUUGGUGAGGUAACGGCUCACCAAGGGUACGAUGGGUAGCUGGUCUGAGAGGACGAUCAGCCACACUGGAACUGAGACACGGUCCAGACUCCUACGGGAGGCAGCAGUGGGGAAUAUUGGACAAUGGGCGAAAGCCUGAUCCAGCCAUGCCGCGUGAGUGAUGAAGGCCUUCGGGUUGUAAAGCUCUGUCGUGGGGGAAGAGGUUCUGACGGUACCCCACAAGAAAGCACCGGCUAACUCCGUGCCAGCAGCCGCCGUAACAC